rnacentral:rRNA from 1 species
UACGGAGGGAGCUAGCGUUGUUCGGAUUUACUGGGCGUAAAGGGCGCGCAGGCGGCUUAUUUUGUCAGGCGUGAAAGCCCCGGGCUUAACCUGGGAACUGCGUUUGAUACGGAUGGGCUAGAGUUCGGGAGAGGAGCGUGGAAUUCCCAGUGUAGAGGUGAAAUUCGUAGAUAUUGGGAAGAACACCGGUGGCGAAGGCGGCGCUCUGGACCGAGACUGACGCUGAGGCGCGAAAGCGUGGGGAGCAAACAGG